GAUGAACGCUGGCGGCGUGCCUAAUACAUGCAAGUCGAGCGAACGGACGAGAAGCUUGCUUCUCUGAUGUUAGCGGCGGACGGGUGAGUAACACGUGGAUAACCUACCUAUAAGACUGGGAUAACUUCGGGAAACCGUAGCUAAUACCGGAUAAUAUUUUGAACCUCAUGGUUCAAAAGUGAAAGACGGUCUUGCUGUCACUUAUAGAUGGAUCCGCGCUGCAUUAGCUAGUUGGUAAGGUAACGGCUUACCAAGGCGACGAUGCAUAGCCGACCUGAGAGGGUGAUCGGCCACACUGGAACGGAGACACGGUCCAGACUCCUACGGGAGGCAGCAGUAGGGAAUCUUCCGCAAUGGGCGAAAGCCUGACGGAGCAACGCCGCGUGAGUGAUGAAGGUCUUCGGAUCGUAAAACUCUGUUAUUAGGGAAGAACAUAUGUGUAAGUAACUGUGCACAUCUUGACGGUACCUAAUCAGAAAGCCACGGCUAACUACGUG
rnacentral:rRNA from 1 species